rnacentral:rRNA from 1 species
GACGAACGCUGGCGGCGUGCUUAACACAUGCCAGUCGAACGGAAAGGCCCUGCUUUUGUGGGGUGCUCGAGUGGCGAACGGGUGAGUAACACGUGAGUAACCUGCCCUUGACUUUGGGAUAACUUCAGGAAACUGGGGCUAAUACCGGAUAGGAGCUCCUGCUGCAUGGUGGGGGUUGGAAAGUUUCGGCGGUUGGGGAUGGACUCGCGGCUUAUCAGCUUGUUGGUGGGGUAGUGGCUUACCAAGGCUUUGACGGGUAGCCGGCCUGAGAGGGUGACCGGCGACAAUGGGACUGAGGUACGGCCCAGACGCCUACGGGAGGCAGCAGUGGGGAAUAUUGCACAAUGGGCGGAAGCCUGAUGCAGCAACGCCGGGUGCGGGAUGACGGCCUUCGGGUUGUAAACCGCUUUCGCCGGUGACGAAGAGUGAGUGACGGUAAUGGGUAAAGAAGCACCGGCUAACUACGUG